rnacentral:rRNA from 1 species
AUUGAACGCUGGCGGCAGGCCUAACACAUGCAAGUCGAACGGUAACAGGAAGCUGCUUGCUGCUUUGCUGACGAGUGGCGGCCGGGUGAGUAAUGUCUGGGAAACUGUCCGAUGGAGGGGGAUAACUACUGGAAACGGUAGCUAAUACCGCAUAACGUCGCAAGCAUAAAGAGGGGGACCUUAGGGCCUCUUGCCAUCGGAUGUGCCCAGAUGGGAUUAGCUAGUAGGUGGGGUAACGGCUCACCUAGGCGACGAUCCCUAGCUGGUCUGAGAGGAUGACCAGCCACACUGGAACUGGGACACGGUCCAGACUCCUACGGGAGGCAGCAGUGGGGAAUAUUGCACAAUGGGCGCAAGCCUGAUGCAGCCAUGCCGCGUGUAUGAAGAAGGCCUUCGGGUUGUAAAGUACUUUCAGCGGGGAGGAAGGGAGUAAAGUUAAUACCUUUGCUCAUUGACGUUACCCGCAGAAGAAGCACCGGCUAACUCCGUG